UACGUAGGGUGCAAGCGUUGUCUGGAAUUAUUGGGCGUAAAGAGCUCGUAGGCGGUCUGUCGCGUCGGCUGUGAAAACCCGGGGCUCAACCCCGGGCCUGCAGUCGAUACGGGCAGACUAGAGUGCGGUAGGGGAGACUGGAAUUCCUGGUGUAGCGGUGAAAUGCGCAGAUAUCAGGAGGAACACCGGUGGCGAAGGCGGGUCUCUGGGCCGUAACUGACGCUGAGGAGCGAAAGCGUGGGGAGCGAACAGG
rnacentral:rRNA from 1 species